ACAUCACUGCAGCUCCAUCUCACCCCGGACACAACCUGUUCCAGCUUCUCCUCUCUGUUCUGCCUCUGAAGUACUUCAGAUGAUUGCUGAACAAGGUCCACCUGGCCUUGGAAGGCGGGCUUUAAAAGCUCCUGUGCAAGCGUCAGAAAGGAGGCUUUUGAUUUGGGACUGCUGGUCUUGCUGCCUCUCAGCUGGGACAUUUUUGUGUUAUGUUGUACUUUUUGGUGGUCUUAAUUUAUCGUCUUGUUAUGUUAAUAAAUUCCCUUGAUUUGGUUGUUUUAAAGGUGUUUGUGUGUUAAGUUUGGGUCAGUGUUGGGGUGUUGUUCGCCCCAUGUUGCCACCAAAGGGUGGGGCGUAACAAUAUACGUGUUCUCUAUACUGUA